AGAUCAUUUUAGAAAGCUACCCUAUACUCAGAUUUUUCUUUAAUUAUAGAGCAGUGGAGAGAAUGUUUGAGAGACAGUGUAAAGGAGAAGAAGGUGGUGGUGGGGGGGGGUUCAAGAAACAGAUGCAGAGAGUACUUAACCACCAGCACAGACAGGUGGGAAGAAGUGUAUUAGGGGAGGAUAAAGUCAAACAGCGGAAACGAAAACACAAUGGUACAACAAAAUGCAUGAGAUACGGAGCUGUAGGUGGAGGCAAACAGAAGGAGUGAUGAUAGAGUUAAUGGGACAGAUAGGUAAUCUCAGAAAGCCAGCGGGAACUGAAACACGGAGGGGGGGACGAGGUAAAGAUGACAGAAAUUGAAACGGAUACAAAUAACACUGCUUAGUUUAAAUCGUUACACUUUGCCAUGCAACGAUAGGACCAAUGUGCUUUUCUAAAUCUGUCAAGUCUAAAUCUGGUACAAACCUGCACACAGUGCAACGUAGUAGUGUAAGAGAUAAUUCAGCUUCAGAGCAUGCUGCUGGGUCUAUUUUUGUACAUCGAUACUUCACUAUCCUUACAUAACAAACAGUGAUCAAAUGUUGGAUGGAGCCAUGAAAACAGCAGUCUACCUAAUCCUAAUGCAUACCUAAUGAGCACGACUUCAUAAAUCAACAUUAUUCAUGCAGGUCAGUGGGCACCAACUGCUGGUCUGCUGGAGAUCUGCUUCAAGCCUAACUCAACACACCUGCUCCAAAGAAUCCGUGUGUGUCCAAAAUGAUGGAGUGUUCUGGGGGAGUUGAGAGCUGCAGUGUACAUAGAGGCAGAUUUGUAUAACUGGACACAACUGCAGCACUAAUUUAACAAUGUGUUCAUGGGGGAAACCUGGAGCUUAUGCCAGGGAGCAUCGGGCACAAGGCGUGGUACACCCUGGACAGGGUGCCAAUCCAUCGCAGGGCACAAUCACAUACACAUUCACACACUACGGACACUUUAGACACGCCAAUCAGCCUACCGUGCAUGUCUUUGGACUGUGGGAGGAAACCGGAGUACCCGGAGGAAACCACUGCAACAAGGGGAGAACAUGCAAACUCCGCACACACAGGGCCACGGUGGGAAUCGAACCCCCGACCCUGGAGGUGUGAGGCGAAUGAGCUAGCUUAGAAAAGUCAACAAACAAUAAAUGAAGGGUGACCUUUAAAAUGAUUAGUGA